GACGAACGCUGGCGGCGUGCUUAACACAUGCAAGUCGAACGGAAAGGCCCUGCUUGCAGGGUCCUCGAGUGGCGAACGGGUGAGUAACACGUGGGUGAUCUGCCCUGCACUUCGGGAUAAGCCUGGGAAACUGGGUCUAAUACCGGAUAGGAGCCAUUUUUAUUGGGAUGGUUGGAAGGUUUUUUCGGUGUGGGAUGAGCUCGCGGCCUAUCAGCUUGUUGGUGGGGUAAUGGCCUACCAAGGCGGCGACGGGUAGCCGGCCUGAGAGGGUGGACGGCCACAUUGGGACUGCGAUACGGCCCAGACUCCUACGGGAGGCAGCAGUGGGGAAUAUUGCACAAUGGGCGCAAGCCUGAUGCAGCGACGCCGCGUGGGGGAUGACGGCCUUCGGGUUGUAAACUCCUUUCGCUAGGGACGAAGCUUUUUGUGACGGUACCUAGAUAAGAAGCACCGGCUAACUACGUG
rnacentral:rRNA from 1 species